GCCUCCGUGGUCUAGUUGGUCAUGACGCCGGUCUCAUAGAAAAUUCUUGUGACAAGCAGUGAAUGCUUGGUAAUCCGGAGGUCACCAGUUCGAACCUGGUCGGGGGCA